CUUGUGAGAAAGACCUUCUAUGUAUUAGUUCCUCUUAAGUAUUCUAUUUUUAAUGACCAUUUUUGCAAUUUGUAAGGAUCAUUUUAAACUGCAUGUGAUUGUAAAGGCUGCCAGCAAGCAUAUUAAUGAUGGAACUUACCUUCUGGCUUUCUGACUCAGUUACAUAUUGAAGACCUUGGAAUUACUGUCAUGGUGGAUAUAUUAAAAAAAAAAAUUCCCACCCACCUUCUAUUCUCUGGGUGUUGUGAAAACUUCCUAAUAACAUCAUGUGAAUUAUGCACAAUAAAUUGUUGUCUUCUUUAAUGAUAUACCUGAACUAGAAAAAUAAUGCCUCAUUGUCCCUGUAUGGAUUUCCUGGAAUGCCUGCUACCCAGGGGCAUUUUGGACAGAAAGCUGGCUUGAUGCAGAAACCUUGGAGCCAGUGAAACUAACAUCUCCACCUGUGAAGAUUACAACUUAAGGAAAAGGGGAAAAUACCAUCUUUACAAGAAGUGCUUGUGAACAGGCUAAAUCCAAACAAAUGACUCUUUCAGAAAAAUUUUAUCUUCAUUGCAUGAGAGUUUUUCUUUUUUAAACUUGCUAAAUAUAGCAGGGAGGAGUCAGGGAGUGUGUGUGUGUGUGUGUGUGUGUGUGUGUGUGUGUGUGUGUGUGUGGAGAUAAAGUACUAGGAAAGAAUUACACACCAUAUUCCUCCCCAGUAUGUUUCAAAAGUAGCUGUGUCCAUCUUCAAACAAGUCUGUCUGCGCCUGCCU
rnacentral:lncRNA from 1 species